CCUACGGGUGGCUGCAGUGGGGAAUAUUGGACAAUGGGCGAAAGCCUGAUCCAGCCAUGCCGCGUGUGUGAAGAAGGUCUUCGGAUUGUAAAGCACUUUAAGUUGGGAGGAAGGGUUGUAGAUUAAUACUCUGCAAUUUUGACGUUACCGACAGAAUAAGCACCGGCUAACUCUGUGCCAGCAGCCGCGGUAAUACAGAGGGUGCAAGCGUUAAUCGGAAUUACUGGGCGUAAAGCGCGCGUAGGUGGUUUGUUAAGUUGGAUGUGAAAUCCCCG
rnacentral:rRNA from 1 species